ACAUCCAGCGAACUUGGGCAGAGAUGCCUUGGUGCCUUCGGGAACGCUGAGACAGGUGCUGCAUGGCUGUCGUCAGCUCGUGUUGUGAAAUGUUGGGUUAAGUCCCGNAACGAGCGCAACCCUUAUCCUUUGUUGCCAGCGAUUCGGUCGGGAACUCAAAGGAGACUGCCGGUGAUAAACCGGAGGAAGGUGGGGAUGACGUCAAGUCAUCAUGGCCCUUACGAGUAGGGCUACACACGUGCUACAAUGGCGCAUACAAAGAGAAGCGACCUCGCGAGAGCAAGCGGACUUCAUAAAGUGCGUCGUAGUCCGGAUCGGAGUCUGCAACUCGACUCCGUGAAGUCGGAAUCGCUAGUAAUCGUGGAUCAGAAUGCCACGGUGAAUACGUUCCCGGGCCUUGUACACACCGCCCGUCACACCAUGGGAGUGGGUUGCAAAAGAAGUAGGUAGCUUAACCUUCGGGAGGGCGCUUACCACUUUGUGAUUCAUGACUGGGGUGAAGUCGUAACAAGGUAAGCGUAGCGAG
rnacentral:rRNA from 1 species